AUCUUACAUCCAGAGGGUGGCAGUAUAGUGCGACGCUAACUGCCAUGAAACCCCAAAGAAGAAGACGCGCGCAAAGAUAUUUGAAUCUCUGCACACCUGUAUGACCCCCUGCGAUGUUUUUCUUGGAUUGGGUUUUGACAGAAGGACGACUUGCCUUUUCAACAGCGGGUAAAGGUCCUUAAUGAAAGGUGUGUUUUGUGUUCCUGCCAAGGUGCUUUACUCACAGUAGAAUGAAAUUGUUGAAAAGAAGAGGGAGUGUCUCCUCAGGGCACUUUGUAUCUAUCUAAAUGAAGAUCCAAGCAGUCUCUUCCAAGAGUAUCUGGAUUCAGAUGGCUGUGCUGCCCAGAGAGACCUUGAACAAGUUGUCUUUGGCGUCUACAGCAUUAAUGCUGAGGGAGGAGAUGCCACCACCACUCCAUUUGAUGUUGGAAAAACUAUUUUCUUUUGUAAAACAGAAUUUGUGUUGUUAAUAACUUCUUGUGUUGGUGAA